rnacentral:tRNA from 1 species
CAAGAUAAGGCUUAUUAGUAAAGUAUUUUAUUUACACUAAAAAUUGUUCUGUGCAAUUCAGAAUGUCUUGA